rnacentral:rRNA from 1 species
ACAGACAGCCAGGAUGUUGGCUUAGAAGCAGCCAUCAUUUAAAGAAAGCGUAAUAGCUCACUGGUCGAGUCGGCCUGCGCGGAAGAUGUAACGGGGCUAAACCAUGCACCGAAGCUGCGGCAGCGACACUAUGUGUUGUUGGGUAGGGGAGCGUUCUGUAAGCCGUCGAAGGUGGCCUGUGAGGGCUGCUGGAGGUAUCAGAAGUGCGAAUGCUGACAUAAGUAACGAUAAAGCGGGUGAAAAGCCCGCUCGCCGGAAGACCAAGGGUUCCUGUCCAACGUUAAUCGGGGCAGGGUGAGUCGACCCCUAAGGCGAGGCCGAAAGGCGUAGUCGAUGGGAAACAGGUUAAUAUUCCUGUACUCGGUGUUACUGCGAAGGGGGGACGGAGAAGGCUAUGUUGGCCGGGCGACGGUUGUCCCGGUUUAAGCGUGUAGGCUUGUGUUCCAGGCAAAUCCGGAACACUUUAAGGCUGAGGCGUGACGACGAGGCACUACGGUGCUGAAGCAACAGAUGCCCUGCUUCCAGGAAAAGCCUCUAAGCUCCAGGUAACACGGAAUCGUACCCCAAACCGACACAGGUGGUCAGGUAGAGA